GGGGACCGGCGGCGCUGGAGGAGCGAGGCAGCUGUACUAGGACUGGGAACGGGUCAGGUUUUUCUUCCCUUGCACUGGUUCCCUCAACCUUCUGCUCAUGGGUUUCUACUAUGCCUAGAACAUUCCAUAUUCUGCUUCACACACGGUGACUCACUCACUACUGCUUUGUACCAGUGUGCCCACUCGAGUGCCUGUAAAGUACAAGCUCCAGAUCAAAAAAGCUUCUAGAUGGAUCCUUUCCAAACUUGGUGUCUUUUCUACAAACUCUGUGCCUCAACAACCAUUUCUAAGUGAGCUGAAGCCAUUUAUUGGUAUCUUGGAUGGUUAACAUCUAAAUGCUUAAUUCCUGAAACCACUCAAGAGUCAUAGGAUUAGAUGAUCCAAGUCACCAAGAAAUUACUGUCUCAAGUGAUACGGGAGACUAUAUGGAAGAAAAUAAGAAGAUGAUUCCAGUAACAUAGCCUU
rnacentral:lncRNA from 1 species